AUUGAACGCUGGCGGCAUGCCUUACACAUGCAAGUCGAACGGCAACACGGGGCAACCUGGUGGCGAGUGGCGAACGGGUGAGUAAUGUAUCGGAACGUACCUUUCAGUGGGGGAUAACGUAGCGAAAGUUACGCUAAUACCGCAUAUUCUGUGAGCAGGAAAGCGGGGGAUCUUAGGACCUUGCGCUGAUUGAGCGGCCGAUAUCAGAUUAGCUAGUUGGGGAGGUAAAGGCUCACCAAGGCGACGAUCUGUAGCGGGUCUGAGAGGAUGAUCCGCCACACUGGAACUGAGACACGGUCCAGACUCCUACGGGAGGCAGCAGUGGGGAAUUUUGGACAAUGGGCGCAAGCCUGAUCCAGCCAUGCCGCGUGAGUGAAGAAGGCCUUCGGGUUGUAAAGCUCUUUCAGCCGGGAAGAAAACGCAUGGGUUAAUACCCUGUGUGGAUGACGGUACCGGAAUAAGAAGCACCGGCUAACUACGUGCCAGCAGCCGCCGUAAAAC
rnacentral:rRNA from 1 species